rnacentral:pre_miRNA from 1 species
AUAAUACUCCCUCCGCCCCGAAUUACUUGUCGCAGAUAUGGAUGUAUCUAGAUGUAUUUUAGUUCUAGAUACAUCUAUUUCUGCGACGAGUAAUUUGGGACGGAGGGAGUAGAUA